CUUACAAGCUGUGGAAGCACAUUUCUUGUGUGACCGCGUACUUUUUGUAGAACGGGCCAACGAGUUACGUUAAGUAGCAAGGUUAAGCACUUAAGGUGCGGAGCCGUAGCGAAAGCGAGUUUUAACUGAGCGUUCAGUUACUUGACGUAGACCCGAAACCGGGCGACCUACCCAUGAGCAGGAUGAAGCGAAAGUAAAAUUUCGUGGAGGUCCGAACCCACGAGCGUUGAAAAGCUCGGGGAUGACUUGUGGGUAGCGGUGAAAUUCCAAUCGAGCCCGGAGAUAGCUGGUUCUCCCCGAAAUAGCUUUAGGGCUAGCCUCAAGGUGAGAGAUACGGAGGUAGAGCACUGAAUGUCCUAGGGGGUAUUGCACCUACCGAAGACUAUCAAACUCCGAAUGCCGUCAUCUUAUACUUGGGAGUCAGACUGUGGGUGAUAAGAUUCAUAGUCGAAAGGGCAACAGCCCAGAUCGUCAGCUAAGGUCCCUAAAUGUAAGUUAAGUGGUAAAGGAUGUGGGAUUGCACAGACAACCAGGAUGUUGGCUUAGAAGCAGCCACUCAUUCAAAGAGUGCGUAAUAGCUCACUGGUCGAGUGAUCCUGCGCCGAAGAUUUCCGGGGCUAAAACUUACUACCGAAGCUACGGCAUCAGUAAUGAUGGGUAGGGGAGCUUCCCAUACGGGUUGAAGCAUGACCGUAAGGACAUGUGGACAGUAUGGGAGUGAGAAUGUUGGCAUGAGUAGCGAGAUGUGGGUGAGAAUCCCACAGGCCGUAAACCCAAGGUUUCCAGGGGAAGGUUCGUCCGCCCUGGGUUAGUCGGGACCUAAGCUGAGGCCGAAAGGCGUAGGUGAUGGACAACAGGUUGAUAUUCCUGUACUACCGAUAACCGUUUGAGAGAAGGGAUGACACAGUAGGAUAAGCUAAGCACACUGUUGGUUAUGUGUGCCCAAGCAUUGAGGCAGUCAAAGUAGGCAAAUCCGCUUUGAUAAUGCUGGGAUGUGAUGGGGAGCGAAAUUUAGUAGCGAAGUAGCUGAUUUCACACUGUCAAGAAAAGUCUCUAUCGAGGUUAAAGGUACCCGUACCGCAAACCGACACAGGUGGGUGAGGAGAGUAUCCUAAGGCCAGCGAGAGAACUGUUGUUAAGGAACUCGGCAAAAUGACCCCGUAACUUAGGGAUAAGGGGUGCCACCAUCAGGUGGCCGCAGAGAAUAGGCCCAAGCGACUGUUUACCAAAAACAUAGGUUUCUGCUAAGUCGCAAGACGAUGUAUAGGAGCUGACGCCUGCCCGGUGCUGGAAGGUUAAGGGGAUCUGUUAGAGCAAUCGAAGCAGUGAACUUAAGCCCCAGUAAACGGCGGCCGUAACUAUAACGGUCCUAAGGUAGCGAAAUUCCUUGUCGGGUAAGUUCCGACCCGCACGAAAGGCGUAACGAUUUGGGCACUGUCUCAACAACAGACUCGGUGAAAUUGUAAUUCCGGUGAAGAUGCCGGAUACCUGCGACAGGACGGAAAGACCCCAUGGAGCUUUACUGUAGCUUGACAUUGGGUCUUGGUACUACAUGUACAGGAUAGGUGCUGUCUCUUAUACACAUCUGACGCUGCCGACGACUCCUUACGUGUAGAUCUC
rnacentral:rRNA from 1 species